UUUAUUUCAAAUGGCAACUGUAUAGGUAUCAUUGUAUGAUAUGUGUUUACGUGCGUUAAAUUAUAUUUAUCCACGUGUAAAACCGUACAGUAUCUCUCUCUCUCUUUCUCUUACGCAAGAAAAAACACUUAAUCUCCAUCCCGAUCACGAAAUCACGGAAAAAAAUCUCUGUGAAGAAUAUAAAUUUUUCCAUUUAUAAUUCAUGAAGAGACAGGUGCAGUACUAUAUGAGGAAACCUUGAUCCCCCUCGCGGAAAUCGAGAAUUGCGUCUGUGAAGUUUACCCUUCACAUUCUGUCAAUCGUAUGAUCACCCCUUUCAUAGAAGAAAGUCGCGUAGAACGGCGCAGACGCGACCUUUGACUUUCCUCGAUCAAACCCUAUCGCGCGAGCCUCUCAGUCACCGUCGAGCUCUCGUUUCUGAAAUAAUGCUAGAAACCACAAUGAAAAGAACAAAUCCUGUCGCGACCGUCUACAAUCACGAGAAAGAUCUACAGCUGAGUAUCCAACUCAAUCGUUGGAUAUUAAAACCGAUUGGUGCCUGGCCGAAACUAAGCGAAAUUUCACGUAUGGAAAGAUACGCGUACGGAUUAGUGAAUGUAAUUUGCACCAGUCUGAUCGGCUUCCUCUUCGUACCCUCUGCCAUAUUCAUGGUGCUCGAAAUGGAUGACACCUACCACAUCUUGAAACUUUCCGGGCCGCUGAGUUUUUGCCUGAUGGCCGUUAUCAAGUACUCCUCGCUGAUCUUCCGCGAGAAUGACAUCCGCAUUGGUAUCCAGCAUAUCGAGAAUGACUGGAUAAGCACUCGGCAUUACGGCGAUCGGAUCAUCAUGAUUAGAAACGCGAAAUUCGGCCGACGUCUCGUGUCGAUCUGCGCGUUCUUUAUGUACGGCGGUGCAGUAUUCUAUUAUCUUGCUCUGCCCUUUAGUAAAGGCAAAAUCACGGAAUACGAUGGAAAUCUGACGUACCGGCCACUAGUGUAUCCAGUCGCCAAGGUGAUCGUCGACGCGCGACAUAGUCCAAUUAGUGAGAUCCUCUUUUGGCUUCAGUGUCUAUCAGGUUUUAUAGCACACUCCAUCACUGCCGGUGCCUGCAGCUUAGCCGCCGUAUUCGCGAUGCACGCUUACGGCCGCCUCGAAGUCUUAAUACAGUGGAUCGAACACCUAGUGGAUGGUCGGGAAGAUUUCUACGAUAACAUAGACGAGAGGCUGGCGAUGAUCGUGCAGCAGCACGUUCGAAUCUUACGUUUUAUAUCGCUAACGGACAAAGUACUGCGUGAAAUAUCUGUGGUGGAAAUUGUAGGAUGUACGUUAAACAUGUGUUUUCUUGGAUAUUAUACUCUCACGGAAUGGGAGAGUAAAGAGACUGCAAGUUAUAUAACAUAUAUUGUUCUGCUUAUAUCUCUUACGUUCAAUAUUUUUAUAUUUUGUUAUAUCGGCGAACUUGUCGCCGAAAAGGUAAAAUUUUCAUAAUUGAAACAUCUGCCUGCACCUGCACAAAAAGAUAUUUUACUGCUAAGCAAAUGCAAGAAGAUUGGCAAGGUAUCAUAUAUGAUCGAUUGGCAUCGUCUAUCAGAAAAAAAGGGUCUCGCUCUCGUGUUGAUGAUAGCUAUGUCCAAUGCGUCAAUCAAACUUACUGCUGGAAAUCUCUUCGAAUUAUCUCUUAGUACUUUCGGCGACGUAAGUAAUACAAUAUCAAUAUCUAUUAUAUUUUUUGAGCAGUAUGAUUUACAUUAUUCGUUUAAAUUGGUAGGUUGUUAAAACAUCUGUCGCUUAUUUAAACAUGCUACGUACAUUAACUAAAUGAAAUUACUCUCUCUCUCUUGUUGCAAUGUAAAAAUUAUUAAUUUGACCACCUAUUAAUUGCAAAAUGAAUA